rnacentral:rRNA from 1 species
GAUGAACGCUGGCGGCGUGCCUAAUACAUGCAAGUCGAGCGAACAGACGAGGAGCUUGCUCCUCUGACGUUAGCGGCGGACGGGUGAGUAACACGUGGAUAACCUACCUAUAAGACUGGGAUAACUUCGGGAAACCGGAGCUAAUACCGGAUAAUAUAUUGAACCGCAUGGUUCAAUAGUGAAAGACGGUUUUGCUGUCACUUAUAGAUGGAUCCGCGCCGCAUUAGCUAGUUGGUAAGGUAACGGCUUACCAAGGCAACGAUGCGUAGCCGACCUGAGAGGGUGACCGGCAACACUGGAACUGGACCACGGUCAAGCCUCCUAGGGGAGGCAGCAGUAGGGAUUCUUCCGCAAUGAGCGAAAGCCUGACGGAGAAAGGCGGCGUGAGUGAUGAAGGUCUUCGGAUCGUAAACCUCUGUUAUUAGGGAGGAACAAAUGUGUAAGUAACUAUGCACGUCUUGACGGUACCUAAUCAGAAAGCCACGGCUAACUACGUG